rnacentral:rRNA from 1 species
CACAUGCAAGUCGAGGGGCAGCAUGGUCUUAGCUUGCUAAGGCCGAUGGCGACCGGCGCACGGGUGAGUAACACGUAUCCAACCUGCCGUCUACUCUUGGACAGCCUUCUGAAAGGAAGAUUAAUACAAGAUGGCAUCAUGAGUCCGCAUGUUCACAUGAUUAAAGGUAUUCCGGUAGACGAUGGGGAUGCGUUCCAUUAGAUAGUAGGCGGGGUAACGGCCCACCUAGUCUUCGAUGGAUAGGGGUUCUGAGAGGAAGGUCCCCCACAUUGGAACUGAGACACGGUCCAAACUCCUACGGGAGGCAGCAGUGAGGAAUAUUGGUCAAUGGGCGAGAGCCCGAACCAGCCAAGUAGCGUGAAGGAUGACUGCCCUAUGGGUUGUAAACUUCUUUUAUAAAGGAAUAAAGUCGGGUAUGGAUACCCGUUUGCAUGUACUUUAUGAAUAAGGAUCGGCUAACUCCGUGCCAGCAGCCGCGGUAAUACGGAGGAUCCGAGCGUUAUCCGGAUUUAUUGGGUUUAAAGGGAGCGUAGAUGGAUGUUUAAGUCAGUUGUGAAAGUUUGCGGCUCAACCGUAAAAUUGCAGUUGAUACUGGAUAUCUUGAGUGCAGUUGAGGCAGGCGGAAUUCGUGGUGUAGCGGUGAAAUGCUUAGAUAUCACGAAGAACUCCGAUUGCGAAGGCAGCCUGCUAAGCUGCAACUGACAUUGAGGCUCGAAAGUGUGGGUAUCAAACAGGAUUAGAUACCCUGGUAGUCCACACGGUAAACGAUGAAUACUCGCUGUUUGCGAUAUACUGCAAGCGGCCAAGCGAAAGCGUUAAGUAUUCCACCUGGGGAGUACGCCGGCAACGGUGAAACUCAAAGGAAUUGACGGGGGCCCGCACAAGCGGAGGAACAUGU